GAUGAACGCUGGCGGCGUGCCUAAUACAUGCCAGUCGAGCGAACAGACGAGGAGCUUGCUCCUCUGACGUUAGCGGCGGACGGGUGAGUAACACGUGGAUAACCUACCUAUAAGACUGGGAUAACUUCGGGAAACCGGAGCUAAUACCGGAUAAUAUAUUGAACCGCAUGGUGCAAUAGUGAAAGACGGUUUUGCUGUCACUUAUAGAUGGAUCCGCGCCGCAUUAGCUAGUUGGUAAGGUAACGGCUUACCAAGGCAACGAGGCGUAGCCGACCUGAGAGGCUGAUCGGCCACCCUGGAACUGAGCCAGGGUCAAGACUCCUACGGGAGGCCGCAGUAGGGAAUCUUCCGCAAUGGGCGAAAGCAUGACGGAGCACCGCCGCGUGAGUGAUGACGGUCUUCGGAUCGUAAAACUCUGUUAUUAGGGAAGAACAAAUGUGUAAGUAACUAUGCACGUAUUGACGGUACCUAAUAAGAAAGCAACGGCUAACUACGUG
rnacentral:rRNA from 1 species